rnacentral:ncRNA from 1 species
CCCUGGGAGUAUCAUACCAACUUGAGUAACCAUUAGGUGAAAGAGGAUACGUUGAAUAGGAAA